ACCAAUUAACCUAACAGUCAUGUUUUUGGACUGUGGGAGGAAGCCGGAGUACCCGGAGAGAACCCAGAGAUGCACAGGGAGGACAUGCAAACCCCCGGCCUGGGAGUCCAACCCAGGACCUUCUUGCUGCAAGAAAGUCCAUGGAGGAACCCUACAUUGUAAUAGGGGUAUCACCGACCACCAGAAAAGAAAUUGCUUCUGCUGAGGGCAGAUCAGACAUACCUUUGAAGAUGUUCAGCCCAGCAAGAAGUCAUGAAUAAAUCACUGGUCAGCAAGGCAUGAAAAAAAAAAUCAAAUAAAGACUCGUAUAUCUAAAGCUGUGAUCUCUUCACACAACUCUGGAAGAAUGAUGUGCAAACCAACAACAAAAUGAAAUCAUUUAAUGCCAACGGCUUCAUACAAGUGCUAGGUUUGUGUUUGUACAUAAAUGUGUUAAGUUUCAACAAAAUCAAAUGCAUCGCACCUUCUGCAAUGAAGCAUAUUUAAAGAAAUGUAUUCAGAAAAAUACACUAAAGUUUAAGAUAAUGUUUAAUCUUCUUUAUCAUGCCUCAUAGUAACUGAGAACAUGGUCUGUAUGGUCAUGGUAGAAUAACUGGGAAUUGAAAGCCAAUUAUGAAGGUUGUAAAACCACUGGGAGAAGCCCAGCUGGUUAUACAUCAAUGCAGUUGAAUUUGACCUGCAAUGAUUAGGGGAAAUUGCUCAUGACUUUGACAAUAAACUCAGGUCUCUGGAGGAAGGACCUCUUCACAAUCAUUCAUUCUAACAUAUGAGUAUUAACUUUGUAUAAUCUUGAAAAUUCAGCACAAGGCUUUGAUUUAAAAUGACAGAAGGCUUACGUCUGGGGCUCAGUUGAUGAAAUUUUAGGUGACAAACAGAAACUCAAUGCAUAAAAUGCAACUUUAACUACCAUGUCUGUUAAAUGGAUUAGAACUUGGAAGGUUUAACCAGAGAGCAGUUAUUUAGCUUAGUUUAUAACUCAGCUUUUUUUAAAAGGAAAACCUCACAAUUUAAUUUAUGUAUUAUUUAAGUCUAGUUUAGCUUGGUUUUGCUUAAUUUCGUUUAAGUAUUGGGAACAAAUAGCUUUUCUUUCUGGUGUGUACUCUAAUAUUAUAAAGAAGAAACUUAAAAAAAAAUGUAAUUGUUAUCUCUGCCAAGGAGGUUAUAUUUUUGUCAGCGUCUGUUUGUCCGUCACUCUGUCUGCAAAAUAUCUCUAAAAGUUGGAGUGACCCUAUUGCCUUGGUGGAGGUCUGUGUCUAUAAGGGCUUUUCUAGUUAUUUAUUUUACAUAAAAAUUUUUUUUCUUAAUGUACUGAUGUGAAAAAGCAAUGUUAUUUUCUGUGUGUUUAUUUACUGUGUUUAAAUUCUUAAAAAAGCUUUAAAUACAGUAUAUGUAAUUUUGUAGAGAUCAGAUUAAUGUUUAUUUUACAAACAAUGAAAUUU